GACGAACGCUGGCGGCGUGCUUAACACAUGCAAGUCGAACGGAAAGGCCCCUUUGGGGGUUCUCGUGUGGCGAACGGGUGAGUAACACGUGAGUAACCUUCCCUUGACUUCGGGAUAACUUCCGGAAACUGGGGCUAAUACCGGCUAGGAAUCCUUGCUGCAUGGUGGGGGUUGGACAGCUUCGGCGGUUUUGGAUGGACUGGUGGCUUAUCAGCUUGUUGGUGGGGUAGUGGCUUACCAAGGCUUUGACGGGUAGCCGGCCUGAGAGGGUGACCGGCCACAUUGAGACUGAGAUGAGGCCCAGACGCCGACGGGAGGAAGCAGGGGGGAAGAUUGAACAAGGGGCGGAAGCCGGAUGCAGCAAGGCUGCGUGCGGGAUGACGGUCUUAGGGUUGAAAAACGGUUGCAGCAGGGGAGAAGCUUGUGGUGACGUUACCUGCAGAAGAAGCACCGGCUAACUACGUG
rnacentral:rRNA from 1 species